UACAGAGGUGGCAAGCGUUGUUCGGAAUUACUGGGCGUAAAGGGCGCGUAGGCGGCCUUCUAAGUCAGACGUGAAAUCCCCCGGCUUAACCUGGGAACUGCGUCUGAUACUGGGAGGCUUGAGUAUGGGAGAGGGAUGUAGAAUUCCAGGUGUAGCGGUGAAAUGCGUAGAUAUCGGGAGGAACACCAAUUGCGAAGGCAGCUCGCUGGGACGUCACUGACGCUGAGACGCGAAAGCGUGGGGAGCAAACAGG
rnacentral:rRNA from 1 species